CCUUGCACCCCAACUCCUAGGGUAGUGAGCAUUCCAGUGCGCACAACACCAAGGUGUCCAAGCCCAUGCACCCCAAUGUGCCCACCCCCUAUCCCCCUAAACCAGUGGGGACCAGUUUUCUCAAGGUGCCCACCCAAUGCACCCUGAAGGUGCUGGGGGCUCUGGGCAUUGGGAUGCCCACCCAGUGCACCCUGAAGGUGCUGGGGCUCUGGGCAUUGGGAUGCCCACCCAAUGCACCCUGAAGAUGCUGGGGCUCUGGGCAUUGGGAUGCCCACCCAAUGCACCCUGAAGGUGCUGGGGGCUCUGGGCACUGGGAUGCCCACCCAAUGCACCCUGAAGGUGCUGGGGGCUCUGGACACUGGGAUACCCACCCAAUGCACCCUGAAGGUGCUGGGGCUCUGCGCAUUCAGAUGCCCACCCAAUGCACCCUGAAGGUCCUAGGGCUCUGAGCAUUGGGAUGCCCACCCAAUGCACCCUGAAGGUGCUGAGGGCUCUGGGCAUUGAGAUGCCCAUCCAAUGCACCCUGAAGGUGCUGAGGGCUCUGGGCAUUGCGAUGCCCAUCCAAUGCACCCUGAAGGUGCUGGGGCUCUGGGCACAGGGAUGCCCACCCAAUGCACCCUGAAGGUGCUGGGGCUCUGGACACUGGGAUGCCCACCCAGUGCACU